UACAGAGGGUGCGAGCGUUAAUCGGAAUUACUGGGCGUAAAGCGUGCGUAGGCGGCUUUUCAAGCCGAUUGUGAAAUCCCCGGGCUUAACCUGGGAACUGCAGUCGGGACUGUCUAGCUAGAGUAUGGGAGAGGGAAGUGGAAUUUCAGGUGUAGCGGUGAAAUGCGUAGAUAUCUGAAGGAACAUCAGUGGCGAAAGCGACUUCCUGGACCAAUACUGACGCUCAUGUGCGAAAGCGUGGGGAGCAAACAGG
rnacentral:rRNA from 1 species